UACGGAGGGGGCUAGCGUUGUUCGGAAUUACUGGGCGUAAAGCGCGCGUAGGCGGACCUGUAAGUCGGGGGUGAAAGCCCGAGGCUCAACCUCGGAACUGCCUUCGAUACUGCGGGUCUCGAGUCCGGGAGAGGUGAGUGGAAUUCCUAGUGUAGAGGUGAAAUUCGUAGAUAUUAGGAAGAACACCAGUGGCGAAGGCGGCUCACUGGCUCGGUACUGACGCUGAGGCGCGAAAGCGUGGGGAGCAAACAGG
rnacentral:rRNA from 1 species